rnacentral:rRNA from 1 species
UCGAGAAUUUUUCUCAAUGGGGGAAACCCUGAAGGAGCGACGCCGCGUGGAGGAUGAAGGUCUUCGGAUUGUAAACUCCUGUCAUUUGGGAACAAUUGUCACCGGUUAACUGCCGGGGGCUUGAUAGUACCAGAAGAGGAAGAGACGGCUAACUCUGUGCCAGCAGCCGCGGUAAUACAGAGGUCUCAAGCGUUGUUCGGAUUCAUUGGGCGUAAAGGGUGCGUAGGUGGCGGGGUAAGUCGGAUGUGAAAUCCCGGGGCUCAACCCCGGAACUGCAUUCGAUACUGCCUUGCUCGAGUACUGGAGAGGAGAUUGGAAUUUACGGUGUAGCAGUGAAAUGCGUAGAUAUCGUAAGGAAGACCAGUGGCGAAGGCGAAUCUCUGGACAGUUACUGACACUGAGGCACGAAGGCCAGGGGAGCAAACGGGAUUAGAUACCCCUGUAGUCC